rnacentral:rRNA from 1 species
GACGAACGCUGGCGGCGUGCCUAAUACAUGCAAGUCGAACGCAGUGGGGACGGGUGAUUAACACGUGGGUAACCUCCCCUCAGAUGGGAUAACACUUGGAAACAUGUGCUAACCCGUUACUGAUGUAUGGACCCGCGGUGCAUUAACUAGUUGGUGAGUUCACGGCUCACCAAGGCCACGAUGCCUAGCCGACUGGAGAGUGUGAGCGGCAACACUGGGACUCAGAUAGGGACAGGACUCCUACGGGAGGCAGCAGUAGGGAAUAUGCGGCAAGGGACGAAAGCCUGACCGAGCAACGCCGCGUGAGUGAAGAAGGUUUGCGGAUCGUAAAAUUCUGUUGUUAGAGAAGCGGUAUCGAACCAGAAAGCCACGGCUAACUACGUGCCAGCCGCCGCGGUAAUUC